UGGGGAAUUUUGGACAAUGGGGGAAACCCUGAUCCAGCCAUCCCGCGUGUGCGAUGAAGGCCUUCGGGUUGUAAAGCACUUUUGGCAGGAAAGAAACGUCAUGGGUUAAUACCCCGUGAAACUGACGGUACCUGCAGAAUAAGCACCGGCUAACUACGUGCCAGCAGCCGCGGUAAUACGUAGGGUGCAAGCGUUAAUCGGAAUUACUGGGCGUAAAGCGUGCGCAGGCGGUUCGGAAAGAAAGAUGUGAAAGACCAGAGCUCAACUUUGGAACUGCAUUUUUAACUACCGGGCUAGAGGGUGUCAGAGGGAGGUGGAAUUCCGCGUGUAGCAGUGAAAUGCGUAGAUAUGCGGAGGAACACCGAUGGAGAAGGCAGCCUACUGGGAUAAAAAUGACGAUCAUGAACGAAAGCGUGGGGGGCAAACAGG
rnacentral:rRNA from 1 species